UCAGACGAUGCGUCAUGCAUAUCAAUAAGCGGAGGAAAAGAAACUAACAAGGAUUCCCCUAGUAACGGCGAGUGAAGCGGGAAGAGCUCAAAUUUGAAAUCUUAAAGGGUUUCCCUUUACGAAUUGUAGUUUAAAGAAGUGUUUUCUGUUGAGGUUUUGGUAAAAGUUCCUUGGAAUAGGACAUCAUAGAGGGUGAGAAUCCCGUAUUUGACCUUUACUUUCAACUUUGUGAUACACUUUCAAAGAGUCGGAUUGUUUGGGAAUGCAGUCCAAAAUGGGUGGUAAAUUUCAUCUAAAGCUAAAUAUUGGCGAGAGACCGAUAGCGAACAAGUACCGUGAGGGAAAGAUGAAAAGAACUUUGAAAAGAGAGUUAAACAGUACGUGAAAUUGUCAAAAGGGAAGCGUUUGACACCAGUGUUGUUUUUCUGAAAAUCAAUUAAAGAACUGUUUAUGCUAAGUUGUUUAGACUUUAUCAGCUAACUGUUUAGUUUUGAGCUUUUCUUUAAUGCACUUUUCAGUUAACAAGUCAACAUCAAUUUCUUUUGCUGUAAAAAAGCUUGAGGAAGGUGGCUUGAGAUUCGUCUUAAGUGUUUAUAGCCUCUUGCCUAUGCAGUCGGAGAGAUUGAGGUCUGCAGCGUAGAUCCUUCGGGGCUAAAUGCAUUUGUGCUAAGUUAUAGCAUUUUAUAGACAACUUGUUGACUAUGAUUUGUCUUGUAGCUUACUCGCUUAUGUUAUUUUACCUACGCUUAGGAUGUUGAGCGCAUGUCCUCUCU
rnacentral:rRNA from 1 species